CCCAAAUAAUGUGGGGAAAAAAAUGGAAGAGGCCAAAGGAAACCUUUGAUCUAAGCUAUGAGGUGCAUGGCAGAAGGGGAUCCUUUUCCUACAUAUUAAAGAACCAUUAUGACCUCAGUCAAGGAGAAAAGUUUAGUGGUGAAUGAAGAACUUCAUUUUGUUCAAGAGGCUUCUUGGAAAAUGCGUUUUAAUUAAGUCCACCUGAGUAUAUCCUUUCCCCCAUUUCAUUAAUAAAAAUUUA
rnacentral:lncRNA from 1 species